rnacentral:rRNA from 1 species
GACGAACGCUGGCGGCGUGCUUAACACGUGCAAGUCGAACGGAAAGGCCCUGCUUUUGUGGGGUGCUCGAGUGGCGAACGGGUGAGUAACACGUGAGUAACCUGCCCUUGACUUUGGGAUAACUUCAGGAAACUGGGGCUAAUACCGGAUAGGAGCUCCUGCUGCAUGGUGGGGGUUGGAAAGUUUCGGCGGUUGGGGAUGGACUCGCGGCUUAUCAGCUUGUUGGUGGGGUAGUGGCUUACCAAGGCUUUGACGGGUAGCCGGCCUGAGAGGGGGACCGGCCACAUUGGGACUGAGAUACGGCCCAGACUCCUACGGGAGGCAGCAGGGGGGAAUAUUGCACAAUGGGCGGAAGCCUGAUGCAGCAACGCCGCGUGCGGGAUGACGGCCUUCGGGUUGUAAACCGCUUUCGCCUGUGACGAAGCGUGAGUGACGGCAAUGGGUAAAGAAGCACCGGCUAACUACGUG